rnacentral:rRNA from 1 species
GAUGAACGCUGGCGGCGUGCCUAACACAUGCAAGUCGAACGAAGCACCUUACCUGAUUCUUCGGAUGAAAGUUUGGUGACUGAGUGGCGGACGGGUGAGUAACGCGUGGGUAACCUGCCCUGUACAGGGGGAUAACAGCUGGAAACGGCUGCUAAUACCGCAUAAGCGCACGAGGAGACAUCUCCUUGUGUGAAAAACUCCGGUGGUACAGGAUGGGCCCGCGUCUGAUUAGCUGGUUGGCAGGGUAACGGCCUACCAAGGCAACGAUCAGUAGCCGGUCUGAGAGGAUGAACGGCCACAUUGGAACUGAGACACGGUCCAAACUCCUACGGGAGGCAGCAGUGGGGAAUAUUGCACAAUGGGGGAAACCCUGAUGCAGCAACGCCGCGCGAGUGAAGAAGUAUUUCGGUAUGUAAAGCUCUAUCAGCAGGGAAGAUAAUGACGGUACCUGACUAAGAAGCUCCGGCUAAAUACGUG